GAUUAACGCUAGCGGCAGGCCUAAUACAUGCAAGUCGAACGGCAGCGGGUCCAGCAAUGGAUGCCGGCGAGUGGCGCACGGGUGCGUAACGCGUAUGCAACCUACCUUUGACUGGGGGAUAGCCCCGAGAAAUCGGGAUUAAUACCCCAUAAUAUUAUGAAGUGGCAUCUCUUUAUAAUUAAAGCUCCGGCGGUCUUAGCUGGGCAUGCGUGACAUUAGCUUGUUGGUGAGGUAACGGCUCACCAAGGCGACGAUGUCUAGGGGUUCUGAGAGGAUUUUCCCCCACACUGGUACUGAGACACGGACCAGACUCCUACGGGAGGCAGCAGUAAGGAAUAUUGGGCAAUGGGCGCAAGCCUGACCCAGCCAUGCCGCGUGAAGGAUGACGGCCCUAUGGGUUGUAAACUUCUUUUGUACGGGAAAAAACCCCCGGUCGUGAACCGGGGUUGAUGGUACCGUAAGAAUAAGCAUCGGCUAACUCCGUGCCAGCAGCCGCGGUAAAAC
rnacentral:rRNA from 1 species